AACGAACGCUGGCGGCGUGCUUAACACAUGCAAGUCGAACGGAAAGGCCCUGCUUUUUUGGUGUUCUCGAGUGGCGAACGGGUGAGUAACACGUGUGUAACCUGCCCUUGACUUUGGGAUAACUUCAGGAAGCUGAGGCUAAUACCGUAUAGGAUCCCCUCCUGCAUUGUGGGGGGUGGAACUUCUCGGCGGGCGGGGAUGGACGCGCGGCUUAUGAGCUUGUUGGUGGGGUAGGUGCUUACCCAGGCUUUGACGGGUAGCCGGCAUGAGAGGGUGGACGGCCACAUUGGGACUGAGAUACGGACCAGAGUCCAACGGGAGACAGCAGUGGGGAAUAUUGCACAAUGGGAGGAAGCCUGAUGAAGCAACGCCGCGUGCGGGAUGACGGCCUUUGGGUUGUAAACCGCUUUAGCCUGUGACGAAGCGGGAGUGACGGUAAUGGGUAAAGAAGCACCGGCUAACUACGUG
rnacentral:rRNA from 1 species